rnacentral:rRNA from 1 species
ACCGCCCGUCACAUCACGAAAGCCCGUUGUACUAGAAGCCGGCAAUUCAACCGCAAGGAGAUAGCCGUCCAAGGUAUGACUGGUGAUUGGGGUG